CUCUUUCUGAGAAGAAACUUCUCCUAAUAUCUGACCUGAACCUCCCCUGGCGCAACUGAAGGCCAUCCCCUCUCAUCCUAUUGCUGGUAUUUGGGAAAAAGGGGGAGUGGAAAGUGGCAGGGAAGAAUGGUGAAGGGAUAAAGGAGAUGAUUACUUAGGAAGUUUGGUUUCAUUUGUUUCAAAGAAAGUCCCAGAGGCUGGGAACUGCAAAACAGGGGUAAGUACUGUUUUAUUUUAUGUCUCCUAGAACAGUGUGGACUGUCCUUACUCAGGGCUUUUACAUGCAGCCAUUAUUAGUAAUAUAAUUUUAUAUGAGAAAAGUAGGAUCAUAGAAUCAUAGAAAGACUUGGGUUGGAAGAGAGCUUAAAGAUCAUCUAGUUACAACCCCUAAAGGAAUAGUAGAAAGGAGCAAGUAGCUCUUGCUCCACUCUCCUGCUAUGAUUACCUAAAAUCACAGCAGAGGGAGCAGGCUGCAUAGCAGUAUUUGCAGCUGAGGUUCUGGCAGGGAGCAGUAAUGGCACAGGGCUCAACAUUUCUGCUCAUGUGAGUCGUGUCCCCUGGCAAAAAUAGACAGACUCUGCUGCCUGCAGUUUGCAGAGAGCAGCUGAGGGAAGCAAACAAUCUCCCAAGGUGGUCGGCCAGGAGAGGCCAAGGGUGGCUGGAAGGGAGGAAGUGCUGUGUGAAACCUCUGCAGAACUGGCAGAAAUGCCAAGGGGACAGCAUCUCUGCUUCUGAUAAACCUUCAGCUGCUUCCUCUCUGCCCACGGGGCUUCAGGCAGGGCUUUUCUCUCUCCUCCCCGAUGAUGGCUUCUCCUCUGCUUUCAUUGGUCAGCUUGUGUCUGCGUCCCUUUCCUGUGGAAAUUGGAGAUACGGGCAGGAGAAAAGACAUAUUUGGUAAUGUUUCUCUUCAAAGCGUCUUUUUCACAAGGCUGCCUCAGCUGCAAAAUGUUAAGGAGAAAAAAAAGCUCUUGGAACUAAUUCCAGACAGACCCUAAUGCCUACAAAUUUGUCGAGACAAUCCAAUCCACUGAAAGCAAGGGGAUCAUUCAGCAUUUACAGGAGUGAAAACCACUCAGCACGUGUUAGCGGUAUGUACAGAAUGUAAACUUCUGUGUGUACAGGAUGUGAUCUGGCUCACAUACUAACACCAGUAUAUGAGGAAGUCAUGAGGAAAGCAAGAGUGAGGGACCUGAUGUUUUGAUGGCAAUCUCAGGUUACAGCAGCAGGUUGAGAGAACCGGUUGUUUUCCUCCACAUGGCACUUACACGGGCUGCAUCUGAAGAGCUGGGUCCUGUUUUGGGUUCCCCCUGCUACAAGAAACACAUGAGCAGAUUAGAGCAAGUCCAGCAUAGGUCCACUGAACUGGUCAGGGGUCUGGAUCACAGAAUGUGCAAGAAGAAGCUGAGAAGGACACACUGUUCACCAUAAAGAAGAAAGACUUGGGAGUGUCUGACUGAUGUCAACAACUACUUAAAGGACGGACAGAGGGAGAAGACAGAGCCAGAAUCUCCCUGGAAAUGCAAAAUGACAAUGAAGCAACAGUCGCAGAUUGAAAAGAAUAAUCAAAUUUACAAAACACAUGAAAUACCAUAGUAUGAAGAGGAUAAAAUACCCCUAAGAAAUUGGAAAUAGUAAUGUCUGGAGAUAUAUCCUGAGAUCCCAGCAGACUUUGGUGCCUUUGGUUUACCUGAAUUGACCAAUAGUGCACAUAAGUAUAAGUAGUACUUCUACCAAAUGGUAUAUCCUAGUAUGGACUUUCCAAGUCACUGGAAAAUAGGUUACUCUGUGUUUAAAAAGCAUUUAUGCUGACAUGUAUUUUUAAAAAUAAUCAGUUCAGGUCAAAACAUUUUUCUGACUGAUGGUGUAUCUCUCUAGGAUGAUAACGUAUAAAUCUGGGGGUCUGCUUGAUGAGUGUAGAUUGUCUCCAGACAGUUAAGAUAAUCUGGGGAAACCAGACAGCUCCUAUAAACCAAACACAAGAGAUUCUCUCAUAUGGUACUUGUUUACUUGAAUGAGGAACUUUUGAAACUUUACACAUUUAUUCCACAGUCUGGCAGCAGUGGGCACAAAAACUGGAACAAACUGACCUUUCUGACUUUUAUCAAAGACAACCUCUGUCCUUUCUUUACUGUCUCCUUGCCUCUGAAGUCCACUCCCUAGAGAAUAUAGGACUGCUUCAUUUCAUGUUUCCUUCCAUUUUUCCCCUUCCUUCAACUUGUUUCAUAUCACACUCUGCACCUGUUUUGAAAAAGCAAGUAACCUGUGAAGAUAUUCCUCACUCCUGGGAGAGACAGAUGGAACCUGAGCCAUGGCAUCUUUGUUGUGCAGGGUAACAGAAAUAGCUUCCAUCAAAUAAGCUGUUUAGCUAAACGCAGAUGGUCUCUUCAUGAUGAGAGAUGACUUCAGAGGAUGGGCAAUGUCACACAUGCACACAUAAAAGCCAGUAAAUGUGAGACUGAAAAUUCUCCUGUAAGCUAUAACUCCAUGGGAGACAGCCUUGCUGUGAAAACAAGAUGUGAGAGCAGCAGUCGCAAGGGUAUGGGGUAGCUGUGAAUUGUGCCCUUUCCAAAAGUAAAGGUGAAAAUUCUGGAACUUUUUGCAGACCUUCAGCUGAUACUUUGGUUUCCUGAUCUGAUUUAUUUAAUUCAAGUGAGCAGGGAUAUUCUUUCUAUCUGAACUUCAUCAUCACAUAAAGCUGUGAAAUUCAAACUGGGUUUAUAAUGUGACAUGAAAAUUGUAUUACUAUUUAGGAAUCUCAUGUAACUCUGGUGUGUUGUCUGCUAAAAGACAGUAUGUGGCAUUUCAUCAGGGCUCUCCGUAGCCCUAGAAACAAUGCUGCACUCCAUCAAAUACAUAUUACAAAUUCAAAUAGGCAAAGCAGUGGAAAAACAUUGUUAGCUCCCGGUUAAAGUGCUGCUGAGCAGUACACUUGGAAAUCUCUGAGAAGCAUUUCUGUCUAAUUCCAUAGUGUUCAGUAGUCACUAGGAUUGUCAUAACUUGCUCAGUGGCCAGACUGAAUGCAUUUGUUAUAAAAAUGAAUUAAUAUUGUCAUUAAGGUUCUAUCAAACCUUCUCCUUCUGUGUCUGUAUAACUUUAACAUGUAGUGAUGUCUGGGAACUCGGUGUCCUGUCAGCAGAAGUUUAAGAUGUGAAAAAGGUUAUUCAUUUCGUAUAAGAAGUUACCUACAAGUCAAAUAUGGCAGCAUCAAUUCAUGGUUAAUUAAUUACCAGCCUCAGGAAGGGUGUUGGACAACGGGAAACACAAAAGCUUGAAAUGGGAUUUUGAAUUGUUUUGCUGGUUUUUUGUUUAUUAGCUGGAAAAAAAAUGAGAGAAAUAUUUAGUAACAGCAUCAUUGUAAGUAUGGAAAUAGAUUAAAGACUGCAGAAGUAGUUUGAGUUUGAGCUCCCAGGUCCAUUUUGUUAUACUUGUUUAAUUGUAGUACACCACAGAAAGAAUUUUUUAACCAGCAGAACAUCUCUCUGUAUUUACUUCAGAAAUGGAAUACAAAUCACAAAGUUUUGUUUUAAAAUUUGUUGACAUUGGAAUGAUGCUGCCGUGUGCUAUAGAGUACUACUUGAAAUUCAAUUGUCUGCAAACACCAUGAUCAUGGUGGUACAGUGCUGAACUUGUUUUUUUCCUUUUGACUGUAAUCUAAAUUUAAUCAGUUUAUUUUCCCGUUUUGCUUGGAGUCAUCCAGUAUGGAAAAUAAUACCUUAAACUAUGCCUAGAGCAUGCAAAGAGAGAUCAUGCUUCUUUUGAUUUUCUUAUUUUCCCAGCGAAUAAAGUAUGUAUAGCCUU